UACCCGAAUAGUUUAAAUAAAAUAUUGGUCUUGUAAGCCAAAGCUGGAGAUUAACACAUCCUUCGGGUAA
rnacentral:tRNA from 1 species